UGGGGAAUUUUGGACAAUGGGCGAAAGCCUGAUCCAGCAAUGCCGCGUGUGUGAAGAAGGCCUUCGGGUUGUAAAGCACUUUUGUCCGGAAAGAAAUCCUUGGCUCUAAUACAGUCGGGGGAUGACGGUACCGGAAGAAUAAGCACCGGCUAACUACGUGCCAGCAGCCGCGGUAAUACGUAGGGUGCAAGCGUUAAUCGGAAUUACUGGGCGUAAAGCGUGCGCAGGCGGUUUGCUAAGACCGAUGUGAAAUCCCCGGGCUCAACCUGGGAACUGCAUUGGUGACUGGCAGGCUAGAGUAUGGCAGAGGGGGGUAGAAUUCCACGUGUAGCAGUGAAAUGCGUAGAGAUGUGGAGGAAUACCGAUGGCGAAGGCAGCCCCCUGGGCCAAUACUGACGCUCAUGCACGAAAGCGUGGGGAGCAAAGCAGGAUUAGAUACCCUGGUAGUCCACGCCCUAAAACGAUGUCAACUAGUUGUUGGGGGAUUCAUUUCCUUAGUAACGUAGCUAACGCGUGAAGUUGACCGCCUGGGGAGUACGGUCGCAAGAUUAAAACUCAAAGGAAUUGACGGGGUCAUAGCUGUUUCCU
rnacentral:rRNA from 1 species